GAAAGUCUUUUAAGUAUUUGGACUGUGUGAACUGUAAGGGUUACUUAUUUUCGAAUUAUUAGCGUGUUAAUAAAUCCCAGUCAUGAAUUUCUCUGGUUUCAUGUACAUAUUAUUUAAUUGUGGACUCUUGAUUGUAAAGUGAGGACUAAUAUGUUCAAUUAUAUGCAGACGAGAAAGAAGGGGUAUCUGUAAGGCGCAGGGGUCGUACUCACAAGCGGCGCAAUACAGAGGGAAAGAGACUUUUUUGAUGAGCACAAUUCAAGUGAAGACGAGGAUUCUAUCAGUGCUUAUGACCAAGAAGACGCUCAAGAUGAAGAAGAGAAGCAAGAUGAAGAGGAAGAGGAAGAUGCCCCUUUGAUAAAUUCAAUUAGGUCAUCCAAGUUGAGAUCACUGAGACUUUCAAGAGAGGAAAACAAAGGAUGGACAAGGACAGGAGAUUCAGAAAGAGCUGUAGAUAAUUUAGCUGCAUCAAGAACAUUAGGGGCCUCCGGCUAGUGACUAAAAACUUAAAUUUGCAAGUUUGUAUAUGUAGGACAGCACUAUCUUAGGUACAUGUUUGUAGAAAAAGGUUGUGAAGCAGUACUAUUUUUUCUAUUUUCAGUUUAGAGGAUGUUUAUCAUCCUUAGGCUUUUUUAAUUUUUUUUUGGAAGGAGGGGUGGUGGGGAAGGAAAUUAGCCUUGCCCAGUGAGGAAAUUUGUAACAGUACAAAGAUCUUCUUGUUUAAUGCAUAUCUUAAUUUGGGUUGCC